CAAAUUUGCAAGGAUCAUUGAAGAAGAGGAAGAACAAUGACUAGUAAACUGAAGAUUAUUAUUUCAACCUUGAUUUUAGUUACUCUAUUCUCAAUAGGUACGAACGGUUUAGUACUCCAACGCGAGAAGUGUUUUUAUCAAUGUGACCUAACAACUAAUAAUUGCAAUACCUUAUGUACUGGCAAGGGAUAUUAUAGAGGAUAUUGUACUGAUGAUCCGUCUUUUACUGUUCCAUUGUGUUGUUGUUACAGUGGUUGAAAAAUUAUAACUUAGAAUUUUUCUUUUAGUUUGCAUAAAAUAUUAUGUUUUAUAAAAUAUAGAACAUAAAAUAUUAUCGUAAAGUAUGAUUGACAAAUUAGGGGAUACCUAAUGAAAUAAAGUGUGUUAUAUUUGCAUAAAUUCUGCAUGAUAGUUGUUUAAUCAUCUUAAAUUCAAAUUAUAAGUUUGACCUUUUUUUUAA